rnacentral:rRNA from 1 species
CCUACGGGUGGCAGCAGUGAGGAAUAUUGGUCAAUGGGCGCGAGCCUGAACCAGCCAAGUCGCGUGAGGGAAGACGGUCCUAUGGACUGUAAACCUCUUUUGCCGGGGAGCAAAAGACGCCACGCGUGGCGUUCCGAGAGUACCCGUAGAAAAAGCAUCGGCCAACUCGGUGCCAACAGCCGCGGUAAUACGGAGGAUGCGAGGGUUAUCCGGAUUUAUUGGGUUUAAAGGGUGGGCAAGCGGAAGAUCAAGUCUGCGGUAAAAUUGGGAGGCUCAACCUCUUCGAGCCGUUGAAACUGGUUUUCUUGAGUGAGUGAGAGGUAUGCGGAAUGCGUGGUGUAGCGGUGAAAUGCAUAGAUAUCACGCAGAACUCCGAUUGCGAAGGCAGCAUACCGGCGCUCAACUGACGCUCAUGCACGAAAGUGUGGGUAUCGAACAGGAUUAGAUACCCUGGUAGUC